CGUGAUACAUCCCCCACCCCCACCCUUCAAAAAAAAAAAGAGCAGGACAAGGAGGAGGGGACAUGAAAAGUAGAAGAGGAGGACGGAUCUGGAGGGGUGACAGACAGACUUGAGGAAUCAGUGACUGUGGCUUUGGUGGCCCUACUGGAGAACACAACAUUGCUGUGGCUGGAAGAGUGGGCCAUGCCACUGUCAGAUGUGUGCUGGGAUGAUGUAAUGGCAGACCAGAGGCACUGGGCUUUUUAUCGCUCUGUUCCUCUCCAGAAAAUAUUCGGCUCAGAUGAGGGGCGGAAGAGCAGACCGUUGAUAAGUUCCCAGACAACAGGGUGGAUGAACAAUGCUUGAAUCAAGACAGUUUGCCCUCUGAUUAGUGGAGUGGUUUUUUUUAAUCAUAGCCGGCUUGUCAUAAACUCCAAACAGGGUUAUCACCUAAAAGAACUUACAGCGUCUGGAAAAGGUGUCUAAAUGGUAAUUCUUCAACAUUUUUACACAAUAUACACCUAAACUACCAGUGGUACCUUAGCAUCCUGAGCAUCAUACCAAUCAGACUGAAUGGAGAGCACCUCAAACAUUAAUUAUGAAGUAAUACAACAUAUUCUUAAUAGGAUUUUGGUCUAUUGACUGAGCCAUUCUAGCCUCUAUAAGGUUUUCUUGUAGGAAUAUCCUGUACUUUGCUCCAUCCUUCUGAAUGUUGAAUCCCCACAGUUUUAUAGUGUUAUAGUAUAGUAUUAUGGUGGAGCCAACAUGUUUCGCUGUGGGAUGGUGUGUUCAGGUUGAUUUGCA